UUUUAAUGAUGAAUGAACAUACACCAUCUUUCGACUGAAUAAUAAUAUUGAUGUUAUUUUUUUUACUGAUGUCAAAU